rnacentral:lncRNA from 1 species
UAUAAUUUUUGUAACGAGUGUCUAUAUCCUUCUUGAUCUGGCUUAACGGUGGGAUCCUCCUUAUCCACAACCAGAUCCUCUUGAUAUGGAAAAGAUGAUAAUUUAAUGGGGUGAGCAAUUUCAACACAGUUAAUAUGUAUAAGAAAUAAGUUACACCUUAGGCGUGUGACAUACAAUCAAACAAUCAAUUAAAUAAAUAAAACUUUUCUUUCUCUUUUCAUUUGAAAACUAUGAAAUGCAAAUGUAUUCAGUUUCCUAUCUCAUCUCUCAUUAUGCCCCUAACUUUCGUCUCUCU